AUUGAACGCUGGCGGCAUGCCUUACACAUGCAAGUCGAACGGGAACAGGUCUUCGGAUGCUGACGAGUGGCGAACGGGUGAGUAAUACAUCGGAACGUGCCCAGACGUGGGGGAUAACGAGGCGAAAGCUUUGCUAAUACCGCAUACGAUCUAAGGAUGAAAGCAGGGGACCGCAAGGCCUUGCGCGUUUGGAGCGGCCGAUGGGAGAUUAGGUAGUUGGUGGGAUAAAAGCUUACCAAGCCGACGAUCUGUAGCUGGUCUGAGAGGACGACCAGCCACACUGGGACUGAGACACGGCCCAGACUCCUACGGGAGGCAGCAGUGGGGAAUUUUGGACAAUGGGCGAAAGCCUGAUCCAGCAAUGCCGCGUGCAGGAUGAAGGCCUUCGGGUUGUAAACUGCUUUUGUACGGAACGAAAAGGCUCUGGCUAAUACCUGGGGCACAUGACGGUACCGUAAGAAUAAGCACCGGCUAACUACGUG
rnacentral:rRNA from 1 species